UACGUAGGGUGCGAGCGUUGUCCGGAAUUACUGGGCGUAAAGAGCUCGUAGGUGGUUUGUCGCGUUGUCCGUGAAAACUCACAACUCAAUUGUGGGCGUGCGGGCGAUACGGGCAGACUGGAGUACUGCAGGGGAGACUGGAAUUCCUGGUGUAGCGGUGGAAUGCGCAGAUAUCAGGAGGAACACCGGUGGCGAAGGCGGGUCUCGUGGGCAGUAACUGACGCUGAGGAGCGAAAGCGUGGGGAGCGAACAGG
rnacentral:rRNA from 1 species